CAUUCCGGCACCCUUGGAAGCACUGAGUUUACGUGUGUGCUUGACGGCCUUCUCGAGCAACGAUCUAGCACCAUAUAAAUUCAGUAUUUUCGAGUCGAGAGCCUUCUUU
rnacentral:pre_miRNA from 16 species